CGGGGUGUAGCUCAGGUGGAAGAGCGCUGGCUUUGGGAGCCAGAGGUCGCAGGUUCAAGUCCUGUCGCCCCGA
rnacentral:tRNA from 1 species